rnacentral:lncRNA from 1 species
GGCGGGCCCUGAUGGGCGGGGCUCCAGCGUGGACCCUGGACUUGUGCUCCUAUGUCAUUUAUCCCAGCUGUUCCCGGUUUCCCCUUCUGAGCCAGGUAUCUUGGCCUCCUCGGUGGCCACAGCUUUCUGCUAAGCCUCGGUCUUCUUCCCGGCAGGAGAGACCUUUGACCCAUGUGCGUCCUGAUCCGUGGCCAGGAGCGUACCCAGUACGGCGGUGCGCCACUCGAGAGGCCUGACCCAGGUAGCCUCAACCUGAAUCUUCGACCCAGUAUCCUUUGAGGGGCCGAAUGGUUGCCAGCCCCUGCCCAGAGAUAAACAGAAGUCCAGGGAUGUGAAAUGUUGCCCUGACAACACAGACCAGAAUUGGAUAAAGGAGAAUAUGUAUCAUCUGGCCAGCCAGAGCGUCCCUGCUAUUUGGAAAAGGGCGGAGAACCUGUGGCAUUGUUUUGUAACCAAGAUUAAAAUCCUUAAUGGAGUAAGACUCAUCCAAUGAAUAAGGAAGAAACUAAGUGUCGUGGGCAGGCAUUACACCAAAGAAUGCAGAUGGCUGGCCGCUGAACCAAGGUGCUAAGCCUGUCUGGGAAUCAACAUUGAAACAAGAGCCCAGAAAUUCUUCCUAUGAUUUAGAAUAAAACUAAAAGUCUUACUCUAAAUGUCUAAGGCCAGGAAAGCACCAGGUCAUGGCCCUCUCUGCUAGCCACAGGACUCUUCUUUCUGGCUUUAAACAUCUGUUUAAACAUUUGUUUACUUUGCCCCCCAACCCAGGAGGUGAGCCUCGCUAAUAUACCCAGCACAUGUGUUUCCCACU